GAGGUACAGCCCCGUGGUGGAGGCCGGCUCAGACAUGGUCUUCCGGUGGACCAUCAACGACAAGCCGUCCCUGACCUUCCAGAACGUGGUCUUCAACGUCAUUUAUCAGAGCGCGGCAGUCUUCAAGCUCUCACCCGAGGACGCUGCCAUGGCUGUGGGUGAGUGGAGGGAGGGAUGCCAAGCAGGGCCAGGCCUCUCACCUGCCACCUGGGCCCACUGACGCCUGUCCCUGCAGCUGACGGCCUCCAACCACGUGAGCAACGUCACCGUGAACUACAACGUCACCGUGGAGCGGAUGAACAGGAUGCAGGGCCUGCGGGUCUCCACAGUGCCGGCCGUGCUGUGCCCCAAUGCCACGCUGGCACUGACGGCGGGCGUGCUGGUGGACUCGGCCGUGGAGGUGGCCUUCCUGUGGACAUUUGGGGAUGGGGAGCAGGCCCUCCACCAGUUCCAGCCUCCGUACAACAAGUCCUUCCCGGUUCCAGACCCCUCGGUGGCCCAGGUGCUGGUGGAGCACAACGUCACGCACACCUACGCUGCCCCAG
rnacentral:sRNA from 1 species